GGGAUUCCCUGGAAUAGAUGCGCUUUAAAUUGACCGCAUCGUUUACUUUGAUAAGACUGACUUGAUUUUCUUGGAGGAGAUACUGUUGGAUUAAUCCUAAUCUUUUAUAAGACUGACUUGGUUUUCUUGGUGUAGAUACUGUUAGAUUAAUCCUGGGAUUUCUUGUAGUCAGCAUGAGGCCCUUUGCACUUAUGAUUUUGGUUCUGUUGGCAGCAAUGGGUGAGAACGAGGCUGGAUUUGAGGGCAUAGCCUGCUACAGUUGUGAUUACAUGAUGAACUUCUGUCGUUUUCGCUGUCGUCACCAGUCGAGCUACAGUCGCAAUUUCGUGUGCUCAGACAGUUGUGAACGGAGAAACGAGCGAUGUUACUUAGAGUGUAUAGAAGAUCGCUCUGACCGUAGCAAGAAGUAGAAAUGGCCGUAGCUGAAAUGCAGCGGGCACCUGCUCUCCAUUCUGUUCACAUGUCUGGUAUUCGAGUAAUAAAUGCGCUUCAGUA